UUUUGACAAAGUUACAGCCCAACCUUUGCCCCUGAGGAAGUAUUAACAAUACGAAACGCGUUGGGCUGUAACUUUGUCAAAAUAAAGACUUCUUAAUAUAUUUAAAUUAUUUGGCAUCGUACAUUUUGUCCCUAUAUUCCAUACAAUCGAUAGUGUAUGCAGAACCUGUUAAAGAAAUUACGUCUUACAAGAAGCCACGCUGAAGCGCUUACCUAUUGCGCUAGAGGAGGCGGCCAUUGACUGGAGAAUCCCACCGGUGGCGCUGUUUCUGUUGUUCAGCGAUUCCGAAUUGGAUGCAGUGCAGCCAGUCCAGAGGAUUACCACCGGCCUUACCGAUCCGAGUGUCCAGAGGGUCCGCUCCUAAUUCAGUGCAGCCGUUUCAGUGAAGCCCAGUGGAGAGCCAAUCGGAGUUCCAUCCGGCACCUCGGCGCAACCUUUCUGAUUCAGCGCUGUUAGUCCUACGGAGGGUUAACCGGUGUUUCCCCAGCGCUUCUGAAUAUAUACCUACACACAGGCAGAUCCCGGACGAUCGGAUCAUCACUACUCAUUUACUCCUAUCUUACAAGUUUAAGGGGUAAGCGUGGACUGUACAUUGCAGUCCCACACAUUCUUACUUACCUUAUUGCACUAUCCGAGGUUUUUUCCCUGUAGGUACUAUUCGAAAAGGAGACUUGCCUCGUUUUUGCUGUAUGAGAACACCUGAUUGGCAUAACUAUCACAAGAAUAUUGACUCUGGGUGUCAGUGACAGCUGCACGGAUCAAGUUCUGUCCCCUGAAGCUGCUGUUUGGUUUAGCCCGGGGGGCUGCACAGUACAGUCCCAUGAAAUUCAUAGGAGCUUCAGCCACAGGAGUCAGACUAGUAAAUGUUGUGGGGACGGGAUAAUAAAUGACAAAUGAAGGUGUAAUGGUCAUAAGUAAUGAGAUACCAGGAAAUAAGAUGAAUUAAAGUCUCCAUUUCCUGUAUGCAGAGGAGGCGUGUACUUGCCACAGCCGCAGUGAGGACAUUUACUGUAAAUUUUAAUAAACACAACCACAGCGUUUUUGCUAUUGA